CCUCCGUCCCAAUUUAUAAAUUUCCGUGUCUAGCUUUAAUCAUCUGUCUUAUUUAAAUUUUUUUAUGAUUAGUAUUUUUAUUGUUAUUAGAUGAUAAAACAUGUAUAGUACUUUAUGCGUGACUUACGUUUUAAUUUUUUUUUCAAAAUAAUUUUAAAUAAGACGGACGAUUAAAGUUGAACACAGAAACUCAUGACUGUAGGGAGU
rfam:Oryza meridionalis cultivar OR44 (W2112) chromosome 5, whole genome shotgun sequence.